UACGUAGGGGGCAAGCGUUAUCCGGAUUUACUGGGUGUAAAGGGAGCGUAGACGGCAGAGCAAGUCUGAUGUGAAAAUCUGGGGCUUAACCCCAGAACUGCAUUGGAAACUGUUUUGCUAGAGUGCCGGAUAGGUAAGCGGAAUUCCUAGUGUAGCGGUGAAAUGCGUAGAUAUUAGGAGGAACACCAGUGGCGAAGGCGGCUUACUGGACGGUAACUGACGUUGAGGCUCGAAAGCGUGGGUAUCGAACAGG
rnacentral:rRNA from 1 species